GAUGAACGUUGGCGGCGUGCCUAACACAUGCAAGUCGAACGAUGAUAGCAAUAUCAUAGUGGCGCACGGGUGAGUAACACGUAGCUUAUCUGCCCUGGAGAGUGGGAUAACGUUCCGAAAGGAAUGCUAAUACCGCAUAAGCUCACGGAAAGUAGAGGACUGUGAGAAAAGGAGAAAUCCGCUCCGGGAUGAGGCUGCGGCCCAUCAGCUAGUUGGCGAGGUAAAAGCUCACCAAGGCGACGACGGGUAGAGGGUCUGAGAGGAUGAUCCUCCACACUGGGACUGAGACACGGCCCAGACUCCUACGGGAGGCAGCAGUGAGGGAUAUUGCACAAUGGGCGAAAGCCUGAUGCAGCGACGCCGCGUGGGAGAAGAAGGCCUU
rnacentral:rRNA from 1 species